rnacentral:rRNA from 1 species
AUAUCAUUAGCGGGAGGAAAAGAAACUAACAAGGAUGCCCCUAGUAACGGCGAGUGAAGCGGGCCAAGCUCAUAAUGAAAAUCGGAGACUGGUGCUUCGAAUUGUAGUUUUGCGACGCACUUCGUUGGACGACGCGAGGUAGAAGUGCCUUGGAAAAGGCCAUCGUAGAGGGUGACAAUCCCGUAAUCGGAUCUCGCGCUCGUCGACAUAUGUUGCGCCGUCGAAGAGUCAUGUUCGUUGGGACUCGAGCAUAAAAUGGGUGGUAAAUUUCAUCUAAAGCUAAAUAUCUCUGGGAGACCGAUAGCGCACAAGUA